rnacentral:rRNA from 1 species
AGUGAACGCUGGCGGCAGGCCUAACACAUGCAAGUCGAGCGGCAGCGCAGCAGUAGCAAUACUGUGGGCGGCGAGCGGCGGACGGGUGAGGAAUACAUCGGAAUCUACCCAGUCGUGGGGGAUAACGUAGGGAAACUUACGCUAAUACCGCAUACGACCUGAGGGUGAAAGCAGGGGACCGCAAGGCCUUGCGCGAUUGAAUGAGCCGAUGUCGGAUUAGCUAGUUGGUGAGGUAAAGGCUCACCAAGGCGACGAUCCGUAGCUGGUCUGAGAGGAUGAUCAGCCACACUGGAACUGAGACACGGUCCAGACUCUUACGGGGAGGCAGCAGUGGGGAAACUAUUGGACAAUGGGCGCAAGCCUGAUCCAGCCAUGCCGCGUGUGUGAAGAAGGCCUCGGUUG